UACGGAGGGGGCUAGCGUUGUUCGGAAUUACUGGGCGUAAAGCGCGCGUAGGCGGAUCUGCAAGUCGGGGGUGAAAUCCCGAGGCUCAACCUCGGAACUGCCUUCGAUACUGCGGGUCUCGAGUCCGGGAGAGGUGAGUGGAAUUCCUAGUGUAGAGGUGAAAUUCGUAGAUAUUAGGAAGAACACCAGUGGCGAAGGCGGCUCACUGGCCCGGUACUGACGCUCAGCCACGAAAGCAUGGGGAGCGAACGGG
rnacentral:rRNA from 1 species